rnacentral:rRNA from 1 species
UACGUAGGGUGCGAGCGUUGUCCGGAAUUAUUGGGCGUAAAGAGCUCGUAGGCGGCCUGUCGCGUCGGCUGUGAAAACCCGGGGCUCAACCCCGGGCCUGCAGUCGAUACGGGCAGGCUAGAGUCUGGCAGGGGAGACUGGAAUUCCCAGUGUAGAGGUGAAAUUCGUAGAUAUUGGGAAGAACACCAGUGGCGAAGGCGGCUCUCUGGACCGUAACUGACGCUGAGGCGCGAAAGCGUGGGGAGCAAACAGG